rnacentral:lncRNA from 1 species
AUGCAGUCCCAUAGGGCUCCAUUGCCCUGCGUCCAUUCCAUCUCGUCCAGCAGGGGGCAGCAAAACGUUCCCGGUGUGUGUUUAGGGGGGGGGGGGGGGGGGGUUGGCCGCCAUCCAUCCCCCCAUCAAUCAAUCAACCCCCAUCAAUCAAUCAACCCCCAUCAAUCGAUCAACCCCCGUCAAUCAAUCAACUCCUCCCCCCAUUCCAUUGGUGGGAGGGUCCUUCUCUCAGCCCCCUCAAUUCCAUUGGUCGGAGGUCAAUCAAUCAAUCAAACUCCCCAAUCCCAUUGGUGGGAGGUCAAUCAAUCAAUCAACCCCCUAUUCCAUUGGUGGGAGGUCAAUCAAUCAAUCAACCCCCCCCCGUCAAUCAAUCAAGCCCCCCCAUUCCAUUGGUGGGAGGGCUCUUCUCCCACAGCCCCAAUCCCAUUGGUGGGAGGUCAAUCAAUCAACCCCUUGUGGGAGGAUCCUUCUCUCAGUCCCCUGAAUUCCAUUGGUCGGAGGUCAAUCAAUCAAUCAAUCAACCCCAUUCCAUUGGUGGGAGGUCCAUUGGUGGGAGGGUCCUUCUCUCAGUCCCCUGAAUUCCAUUGGUCAGAGGUCAAUCAAUCAAUCAACCCCCCUAUUCCACUGGUGGGAGGGUCCUUCUCACCCCCCCCCAACCCCAUUGGUGGUCAAUCCAUCAAUCAAUCAACCCCCCCCAUUCCAUUGGUGGAGGGUCCUUCUCUCACAAGCCCAAUCCCAUUGGUAGGUCAAUCCAUCAUCAAUCAAUCCCCACCUACUCCAUUAGGUGGAGGGUCCUUCUCGUCACAGCCCCAACCCAUUGGUGGGAGUCAACUCAAUCAACCCGCUUGUUGGAGAGUUCCUUUCUCACCCCCCCCCAACCCCAUUGGUGGUCAAUCAUCAAAUCACCCCAUCCCCCGAUCCCAUUGCGCUGGGGGGGGGCAUGCUCUCACAGCUUGAGCUCAUUGCCACCUUGAGGCGAUGGUUCUUGAAGUGCCAUGGAUGGUGCCGCGAUCGUUUGGAACCGGACCUCCGUUCAACGGAGAGCCGGGGCAGUUUGCAAACCUCCAUCUCCCAUUGACGAAGGAGUCGUUGGCGCGGGCUCCAUAGUGCACACAGCAGACGAAGCGCUCCUGCAGCUCACAGCGGCAGCUGUUGGCGGUCCAGCACUUUGCCGGAUCUCCGCUCACAUCUCCCCAGGUUCCAGCUGACGUUGUUUUCAUGCUCCGACGUGAAGCGUAAGGAGCAGGAGCUUGGCGUCCCGGGCGGUCGUCCUGUCCAGCCCACGGCCGGGCUGGAGGGAAAUGGGGGGUGAGAUGGGGGGAUAUUGGGGAUAUGGGGUAUGGGGGGGAUAUGGGGGCAAGUGGUGAUGGGGCGUAUGGUGGGAUUGGGGAUAACGGGGAGGGGGUAACAAGGUUAUGGGGGGUGAUGGGGUGAUGGGGGGGUGAUGGGGA